rnacentral:misc_RNA from 1 species
AGCAAGAGUACUAUCUCAAACCUUAAUUUUGAAUUCACUCAACGUAGUUUCUUUAAUGUAGACAAAGUUUAAAUGGAGCAUGAAAUAUUUGAUUAGUGAUCUACUCUUUUUUCAUAAGGAAAAAAAAAUUCUAUUGUGGGAUGUUAUUUCUCUGAUAAUAAUGUCUGUCUUUAGUUUAAUCUUGUCGGUCGUAUUGUACUGGUGAAACAAUCCUAAAACUUUCCAUGAGUACGGUCAUGUUACAUUUUUCAGGCCAAAGAUGGAAACCAAUGUGAA